rnacentral:tRNA from 1 species
AUAAGGGUAAUUCAGUGGUAGAAUUCUUGCCUUCCAUGUCGGAGACCUGGGUUCAAUUCCUGGCCAGUGCA